rnacentral:rRNA from 1 species
AGCGAACGCUGGCGGCAGGCCUAACACAUGCAAGUCGAACGGACCUUUCGGGGUUAGUGGCGGACGGGUGAGUAACACGUGGGAACGUGCCUUUAGGUUCGGAAUAACUCAGGGAAACUUGUGCUAAUACCGAAUGUGCCCUUCGGGGGAAAGAUUUAUCGCCUUCAGAGCGGCCCGCGUCUGAUUAGCUAGUUGGUUGAGGUAAUGGCUCACCAAGGCGACGAUCAGUAGCUGGUCUGAGAGGAUGAUCAGCCACAUUGGGACUGAGACACGGCCCAAACUCCUACGGGAGGCAGCAGUGGGGAAUCUUGCGCAAUGGGCGAAAGCCUGACGCAGCCAUGCCGCGUGAAUGAUGAAGGUCUUAGGAUUGUAAAAUUCUUUCACCGGGGACGAUAAUGACGGUACCCGGAGAAGAAGCCCCGGCUAACUUCGUG